rfam:Solanum lycopersicum cultivar Heinz 1706 chromosome 12, whole genome shotgun sequence.
UAUGGGCUAAUGAUGAAAUCUUAUAUAUCGUAAAUGGGUAAUUUGCGUCUGAAUCUUUCAUUGAUGCUAUCAACCUUGGAGAACUGAUGCCCAUA